AGUGAACGCUGGCGAUAGGCCUAACACAUGCAAGUCGAACGGCAGCACAGUAAGAGCUUGCUCUUACGGGUGGCGAGUGGCGGACGGGUGAGGAAUACAUCGGAAUCUACUUUUUCGUGGGGGAUAACGUAGGGAAACUUACGCUAAUACCGCAUACGACCUACGGGUGAAAGCAGGGGAUCUUCGGACCUUGCGCGAUUGAAUGAGCCGAUGUCGGAUUAGCUAGUUGGCGGGGUAAAGGCCCACCAAGGCGACGAUCCGUAGCUGGUCUGAGAGGAUGAUCAGCCACACUGGAACUGAGACACGGUCCAGACUCCUACGGGAGGCAGCAGUGGGGAAUAUUGGACAAUGGGCGCAAGCCUGAUCCAGCCAUACCGCGUGGGUGAAGAAGGCCUUCGGGUUGUAAAGCCCUUUUGUUAGGAAAGAAAAGCAGCAGGUUAAUACCCCGCUGUUCUGACGGUACCCAAAGAAUAAGCACCGGCUAACUUCGUG
rnacentral:rRNA from 1 species